rnacentral:tRNA from 1 species
CACUGAGAAGCUAAAUAAAGCAUUAACCUUUUAAGUUAAAGACUGAGAGUUUAUCCUCUCCUCAAUGA